UUUAGUUUAGGUUAAAAAAACCUUAGAUAUGUGGCAUCUAAAUUUCUCUUUAGAAACUAAAU
rnacentral:tRNA from 1 species